AUGUAAAGAGAAGGAUCAUAGUAAGCUCCGCAUUGUCUACAGCUAUUCUCUUCCUUGUCCUUGCCUUGUUCUUGUAUGUUUGGAAAAAGAAGCAGCAAAAAAACGGUUCGUUGUUCAAUCUACGAACAUCUACAAAUAAGUUACAACUACAAAUUGAUAGGAGCUCGUUAUAAUAGACAUGUCAAGGAAAUUUUAAUGUAACAGAGAAUAGAUCAGAUCCCCUGCUUCUAUUUAUUCUUAACAUCUCUGCUUGCAUGGCAAAUGACAGGUGCUUUGCAAAGAAAUCCACAUAAGAAAGAUGAUUUGGACUUACCGUUGUUUGAUUUGGGUACCGUGGCUCGUGCAACAAAUAACUUUUCUGUUGAAAAUAAACUCGGAGAAGGGGGCUUCGGACCUGUUUAUAAGGUACUAAUCUAUAAUUAAUCACGCAAAGUGACAGCUUCCAUAUUUCGUUGUACAAACUCUGAAAACCACUGUAUUUACUGGGAACUUAGACCAUGAGACUGACUAUUUCCAAGCAUAAAACAAUGACUACUUGGUAAGAGUUUCGACUUAUAAUUUCCUAACAGAUGCGAGUAGUUUGCCACAUCAUACCUUGCUUUCCAACUUUCACAGGACAAUGCUUAUAAUAAUGACUGAUUAUUUGCAGGGAACACUGAGAGAUGGACGAGAAAUAGCUGUGAAGAGGCUUUCUAAUAAUUCAAGACAAGGAGUUGAUGAGUUCAAAA
rnacentral:lncRNA from 1 species